CUUAUGGUCCUCCUGUCUCAAUCUCCUGAGUAGCUGGGAUCACAGGUGUGCACAACCAUACCUGGCUUAGGUUGUUUCUUUAGGACCUGCUUUAUCCUGCAACCUGGAGGGCAGACAAAGGAAGGAACCUGUGUGGUAAUCCCCAGAGUGAGUCACCUUUUUCUGAGCUGAGCCAGUGGCCACUUCCCAUUCAGAGCACCUCUUGAGUCUCCCCAGGGAGAGAGCUGUGGCAACUCACGGAACACAAGAGUGUCUGCUCAUUUUUUGGCAAAGCCCACGCGC